GAUAUAACUUUUCAUUCUCGUCUAAGCUCUCGUACUUAAAACAUCUUUUGGAAGUAACCAAAAAUUUUUUUUAUUUUCUGAUAACCUAGUUCCGUAAAAAGGCUUAUUAAAACUAUCUUGACAAUGUGUAAUCCGUGUUUGCGGUCAAUGCCUGGCACAUGUUGUGGACCAACUGGUGGAUUGGGACCUUGCGGUUUUUGUGGACCUUACAAUGGACAAUGGUUCAGAGCGAUAAAUCACUGCUGCGGUCCCUGUGGACCAUAUGGCUGCUGUUCUUGCUAUGGACCCUAUGGAGGACACUGUUAGCCUACUUAGAAGGAACAUAGGUUACGGAAAACUAAUCAAAUAAGGUGGAGACAAAGGACAUAAACGCUUUAACAGAUAUCUGGAGAUAGUGGCCGAAUCUAUAGAAAACUCGUAAUAGACAAAAGGUCGUGUUGUCCAAAAAAAACCAAUAAAUAAAUUCAAUGUGAUUUUAUAUUGC